UCCAGUCCCUGUCGUCGCCGAUCCAACCCCCGCCAUUCCAGACCUCGCCGGCCCAGCCCUGCCGCUCUUAUAGCUACUCCCCCAGCCGCUCACUCUGGCUCAAGUUGCGCCCCGCCUCUCCAUGUGCAGCAUCGAGCGUCGCCGGCGAUCGAGCCCGCCUCUCCACGCGCAGCAAUGAACGGCGGCAACAACCGAGCGCGUUACUCUGUGCGCAGAAGCGAGCGUUGCGGGCGACCGAGGCCGCCUCUCCAUGCGCAGCAGCGAUCGGCGGCGACAACCGAGCGUGCCUCUCUAGCGUCGCGGGCGGCCGAGGCCCCCUCUCCACGCGCAGCAGAUUCUAGCCCCGAUCUACCUCCUCCUCAAUCCAGUCCACCUCUCGACAUCAUCCUCGACCGCUCAGCGUUCUCCUCCCUGCCCAUGAGGUCGAUCCCGAGGGUGCAGAUGUGUUUUGAGCUCUGCCUCAGUGUCUGCCACCUCCCAAAGUUCAGUUAUGCGCUCAAUCCUGGAGACCUCCCUCAAGUCGUUGUUGUUGUUUGGCAUGGAGAUCUUUCUCCUCGACAUGAAACUCGCAUCUGAAUCUAUUCCCAUGGAUUUGGGAGCCCCCAACCUCAUUUACCGUGUUUGCAUCCAGGUAACAUGCGCCCGUGAUAUCUCUGCUCUUCCUUGACUUUGCUAGAGAGUUCCGGUAUGGUGCCUCUUUUAUUGGUAACAAAUGAAGGAUAAACCUUUCGUCCGUUGUUUUAGUUGAGGGACAUGGCAAAUUAGGUUUAAGUUUUUGUAUAUGAUUAAUAUUGAUUGAUUCCAUAAUACUGAUGCACCUUCUAACAAUGCAAACAUGCUCUUUUCAUGUUAUGGUUUAUGCCAGAGCAAAUAUUGUAGCAUUAUUCUUAAAUAUGAUUAUAGAAGUUGCAAUACUUACCAAUGAAGAAUUAGUACUCCGUAAAUCAUUUGAUUAGUCAAGUUCAGAUAAAAGUUAGUCUUCUUUAUUCAUAAUGUUAUAACAUUUGCAAUUUUUUCUGAACUUGACAUGGUUCCUGCAAUCUUUCAAGAGGACAAAACAUGAUCGAAGGAACAAUACCUUUUGUAAGCUCUUGAGCUUAUACUUAAGGAAUUCAAAGAGAGAUGUGGUUGUAGGUCGCAAGAAUGAUCCACAAACUAAACUGGAAGCUUGGAAUAUUGUCUUUAGUUAGAUUCAUCGAUCAGUUUCAAGCAAUUCAUCUUUUUGGUGGGACCAUCUCAUAUUUUUUGCAAUGACAGAAAAUUGUGUUGCUUGCCGAGGGACAUGGGACUUCUGUUCUAGCUAAAAAUCUAAGAUCUGACCGACAUUUUUUUUGUUGCCUAUCUUAGACAUGUUUCUGUAGCCAUUACAUUCAAAGUAAACAAAACAGUCCCAUAUUUAGAUGCA